AUAUCGGAACGUAUCCAAUAAUGGGGGAUAACUAAUCGAAAGGUUAGCUAAUACCGCAUACGCCCUACGGGGGAAAGCAGGGGAUCUUCGGACCUUGCGUUAAUGGAGCGGCUGAUAUCUGAUUAGCUAGUAGGUGAGGUAAAGGCUCACCUAGGCUUCGAUCAGUAGCUGGUCUGAGAGGACGACCAGCCACACUGGAACUGAGACACGGUCCAGACUCCUACGGGAGGCAGCAGUGGGGAAUUUUGGACAAUGGGCGCAAGCCUGAUCCAGCCAUUCCGCGUGAGUGAAGAAGGCCUUCGGGUUGUAAAGCUCUUUCGCAAGGGAAGAAACGAUACCGACGAAUAAUCGGUGUUAAUGACGGUACCUUGAUAAGAAGCACCGGCUAACUACGUGCCAGCAGCCGCGGUAAUACGUAGGGUGCGAGCGUUAAUCGGAAUUACUGGGCGUAAAGCGUGCGCAGGCGGUUUUGUAAGUCAGAUGUGAAAUCCCCGGGCUCAACCUGGGAACUGCGUUUGAAACUACAAGGCUAGAGUAUGGUAGAGGGGGGUAGAAUUCCACGUGUAGCAGUGAAAUGCGUAGAGAUGUGGAGGAAUACCAAUGGCGAAGGCAGCCCCCUGGACUAAUACUGACGCUCAUGCACGAAAGCGUGGGGAGCAAACAGGAUUAGAUACCCUGGUAGUCCACGCCCUAAACGAUGUCUACUAGUUGUUGGGAGAG
rnacentral:rRNA from 1 species